rnacentral:rRNA from 1 species
UACGGAGGGUGCAAGCGUUGUUCGGAAUCACUGGGCUUAAAGGGCGCGUAGGCGGCUUCGCAAGUCAGGGGUGAAAUCUUUCGGCUCAACCGGAAAAGUGCCUCUGAUACUGCGGAGCUCGAGGGAGGUAGGGGCAGACGGAACUUCCGGUGGAGCGGUGAAAUGCGUUGAUAUCGGAAGGAACGCCGGUGGCGAAAGCGGUCUGCUGGCCCUCUACUGACGCUGAGGCGCGAAAGCCAGGGGAGCAAACGGG